UAUUGGGGUGCAUAUAUUAUGAAGCGCUGUCUGCCUCACACAGACGCACUCCUCUCCACACUUCUGUCAAGGACAGCUAUCCAGCGCCUAAUUAGAUCAACAUGGAGCACUCAUCACACUGACCCACUUUACAUUGGAGAAGAAAAAACUCGGCAGAAAGCCAAGAGAAAGCUGGAGGAGAAACGGAGUCAGAGACCUAUCGCCACCAUUCCAGGGGAGGGGAGAGUGUGAUGUGUACGAGAGAGAGAUGCAUAAAAGGAAGACAAACAAAGACAGGUCGGAAGAGCGAGGAAGAAGGAUGUGACUGGGAGAGUGCAAAAGAGGUUUAGAGAAUGACUCACAGAUGAGGAAUUUCAAUGAUGACAAUAAACUGGAGAAGUUGGGGCUCUGGACUGUGAAAACAAUGCUGUGGAAUGCUCCAAAAAGUUGGACUGUUCUGUAUCACCCUUGGAAAAGUUCCUAAAGAAAAAACCCUUUGAGCCCAAGUCCAUCAGGGAGUGGUCAGCACAUAGUACCUUCAAGACCCUGUGGGAGAGGGAGAGGGUGGAUCCUGCUAGAUGGUUGACUGUCAAUGUCAUUUGGGAAAAUGUCCUAUCACCAGAACUUUCCAACAAGCUUGGUUGGUGGUGAGAGGGUCACUACCUGUGAGAUCCAUUAUGUAGACCCAUUCGGUCUGUGCCACCUCACGCUGCCCUCAAAGUGGCUGUGUUGCGGGUGGGGGGAAGGUGAGGGCAGAGACUGAGAUGUAUUUCCUUCUGGAAUGUGCCUUUGCAAACCAAAGUCUGGAGGAAGAUGGUUCUUGUUGAAAGGAGAUGAAGGAUGAAGGGUCUAGGCCCGAAACGUCAGCUUUUGUGCUCCUAAGAUGCUGCUUAGCCUGCUGUGUUCAUCCAGCUCCACGCUUUGUUAUCUUUGUUCUUGUUGAAGUUCAUCGCGAGCAGCUCCGUGUAGCGGGACUCUGUGCCCUAUGGUCUGUUCCCUGGGAUGCAUGCUGAGACAAACAUUGACUGCGCCUGGAGGACCAUCAACUCGAUGAAAGACACUCUUUGGUCUGCCCGAAACUUGUUGGUCUUCUAUUCCAAAGGAUAGUCCUCAACUGAGUGAGACAGACUGGCACAUUCCAAGGCCCAGGACUAAAGCUUGGAGCAGCUGGAGAGGAGAAAAAAAACAGUCAUCAUGGCGCUCUGGUUUAAUCUAACUGUUAUGUUCCAUUUUGGAGCUUUCAUUGGAAUAUAAAUAGUUCCUUGCCAUGUUUAGAAAAUGCCUUUUUGUCGCAACUGGAUGAAAGAAUUAAUGAGGAAUGUCGAAAUUCUGCUGCAUUUUCUGUAAUGUGCGUACUGAGCUGUUUUGUGCUUUUUGAAUUGUAGAUAGUUUAUGAACAAAGUACAUUCUUGAAAUUAAAAACAAAACAAAGGCAGAAGGUUUGGUGACAAGCUUCCUGCUCACUGUUGGCUGGGAAACACCCAUCAGGCGAUAUAAAUCCAUUGUAAAUGACUGAUGGGAAGAGUGGGUAUGGAUUGGUAGCAGAGCCCAGGGCGGGUCCGGUACCUUGGACAUAGUCAGCUCCUCCACAAGAGGCUACUGAGUGGGGAGAAGAACAAUCAAUGGUGAGGCUCUAAGCUAUAACAUACGGUUACGGUAACCAUUUACUUGUGGUGUGUAAAAUUGAGCCUGAUAUUACUGCUGCAUGCUGAGACUGGAGACUAAUGUACUGGGUCUACACGAGACUGUACCGUUUGCAGCUGCGAAAAGUGGUCUUACACGUUGAGUUGACCACAAUCCAUGUCAGUAGAUGCAAGCGUACACAUGUGUGAGUGUGUACGGCCAGGGAUGAAAUCCAUGUGUGCACUUACAUGAAUGUCAUAGGUACAGGAGGAGGCCAUUCAGCCCCAUUCCAUGAGAUCAUGACUUAUCUAUGGCCUAACCCCAUGUACCUGCCUUUGGCCCAUAUUCCUUAAUACGCUUGCUUAACAAGAAUGUAUCUAUCUCUGAUUUAAAUUGAGGAACUGACCCACUUGCUGUUUGUGGCAGAUGGUUCCAAACAACAACUGCUUUUUGCGUGAACAAACUGAUCCCUGACGUCUCUCCUGAAAGUGCUGACCCUAGUUCUCAGACUAUGCCCCUAGUUCUAGAAUCCCCAACCAGUGGCAAUAGUUUAUAUUUAUCUACCCUGUCUUUUCCUGUUAAUAUCUUGAAGACUUUGAUCAGAUCACCCCUUAACCAUCUCAAUGCUAAAGUAAAAUUUGCGUAAUUUUUCCUCAUAACUUGACCCCGAGACAAAGUUCAUUAACACGUAAUCCUACAAAGCACAUUGGGUUAUUUUCCAGUUUAAAGAUGCAGAGUGGGAGAAGGAUGAGGGAAUGGGGUCCAGAAUUAGGCGACACAGUCUCAGAAUUAGGGCCAGAUCAUUUUGGAUUGAAAUGAGGAAAGUAGUGAGCCCUCAACCUCUGAGUGCUGCAGAGCAUCCAUCAUUGAGUAUGUUCAGGGCAGAGAUUGAGGGAUUUCUACAGAUUAGAAACAUCAAGGGACAGCUCCCGGACAUAGGGUUGAAAUAAAAGGCCAUCAAUAAUUGGUGCAGCAGGCUCGGGCGGCUGAAUGGUCUUCUCCAAUUUGCUAUUUCCAAUAUUCUUAUGAUCCUAUAAAUGAAGUCUGCAAGUGGCUGUUCAUGUAACAGCAGUGCUGCACAGAUGGGAGUGUGCAUUUAGCAAGAAUAACUAUUCAUUGCAAAUAAAUAGAUCCGAGCUACAAAUAAAAAUAUGAUGAACCGUUGAUGUAACCCCUACUGGUUACAAUUAUAAUCUCUUAGUAAGUGGAGUUAGUACUGGACUGUGAAUCCAAAGACUCAGGUAAUGUUCUGGGGGCUAGGGUUUGAAUCUCGCCAUUAGUGGUAUUUGAAUUCAAUAAAAAGCUGGAAUUAGGACUCUAAUGAUGACCA